rnacentral:rRNA from 1 species
GGGGAAUAUUGCACAAUGGGCGCAAGCCUGAUGCAGCAACGCCGCGUGAGGGACGACGGCCUUCGGGUUGUAAACCUCUUUUGGCAGGGAAGAAGCGAAAGUGACGGUACCUGCAGAAAAAGCACCGGCUAACUACGUGCCAGCAGCCGCGGUGAUACGUAGGGUGCAAGCGUUGUCCGGAAUUAUUGGGCGUAAAGAGCUCGUAGGCGGUUUGUCGCGUCUGCUGUGAAAACCCGAGGCUCAACCUCGGGCCCGCAGUGGGUACGGGCAAACUAGAGUGCGGUAGGGGAGAUUGGAAUUCCUGGUGUAGCGGUGGAAUGCGCAGAUAUCAGGAGGAACACCGAUGGCGAAGGCAGAUCUCUGGGCCGUAACUGACGCUGAGGAGCGAAAGCAUGGGGAGCGAACA